rnacentral:tRNA from 1 species
UUUCCUGUGGCUCAGUCAGUAGAGCAUUGCGCUAACAACGCAAAGGUCAUGGGUUUAAACCUCAGGUAAA